AGAAGGAACUCGGCAAAUUAACACCGUAACUUCGGGAGAAGGUGUGCCCCGGUAGCGUGUAGCGACUUGCUCGCGAAGCGUGAUGGGGUUGCAGUGAAAUGGUGGCUGCGACUGUUUAAUAAAAACACAGCACUCUGCAAACACGAAAGUGGACGUAUAGGGUGUGACGCCUGCCCGGUGCCGGAAGGUUAAGUGAUGGGGUGCAAGCUCUUGAUCGAAGCCCCGGUAAACGGCGGCCGUAACAAUAACGGUCCUAAGGUAGCGAAAUUCCUUGUCGGGUAAGUUCCGACCUGCACGAAUGGCGUAACGAUGGCCACACUGUCUCCUCCUGGGACUCAGCGAAGUUGAAAUGUUUGUGAAGAUGCAAUCUCCCCGCGGCAAGACGGAAAGACCCCAUGAACCUUUACUGUAGCUUUGCAUUGGACUUUGAACCGGUCUGUGUAGGAUAGGUGGGAGACUGUGAAGCCGGGACGCUAGUUUCGGUGGAGUCAACCUUGAAAUACCACCCUGAUUUGUUUGAGGUUCUAACCUUGGUCCGUGAAUCCGGAUCGGGGACCGUGCAUGGUAGGCAGUUUGACUGGGGCGGUCUCCUCCCAAAAGGUAACGGAGGAGUACGAAGGUACGCUUAGGGCGGUCGGACAUCGCCCACAAAGUGCAAUGGCAAAAGCGUGCUUGACUGCGAGACCCACAAGUCGAGCAGGUACGAAAGUAGGUCAUAGUGAUCCGGUGGUUCUGUAUGGAAGGGCCAUCGCUCAACGGAUAAAAGGUACUCUGGGGAUAACAGGCUAAUUCCUCCCAAGAGUUCAUAUCGACGGGGGAGUUUGGCACCUCGAUGUCGGCUCAUCACAUCCUGGGGCUGUAGUCGGUCCCAAGGGUAUGGCUGUUCGCCAUUUAAAGUGGUACGCGAGCUGGGUUUAAAACGUCGUGAGACAGUUUGGUCCCUAUCUGCCGUGGGCGCUGGAAAUUUGAAGGGGGCUGCUCCUAGUACGAGAGGACCGGAGUGGACGAACCUCUGGUGUACCGGUUAUGACGCCAGUCGUAUUGCCGGGUAGCUAAGUUCGGAAGAGAUAAACGCUGAAAGCAUCUAAGCGUGAAACUCGCCUUAAGAUGAGAUUUCCCGGAGUCUUGAACUCCCUGAAGGGUCGUCGAAGACCACGACGUUGAUAGGUCAGGUGUGGAAGCGCAGUAAUGCGUUAAGCUAACUGAUACUAAUUGCCCGU
rnacentral:rRNA from 1 species